CUCGCACAGGCGAAAAUCAACAAAGAGCCAUUCUCGGGCAUUUCCAACUGCACCUAAGCCAAGGCACUGAGCUGUGGAGCCAUCCGGCCUGGGGAGGGGAGCCACGCAGACACUGCUCACUGCUCUUGGGUGUGCGGCCAGGCACAGUAAACAUCCAGGUGAGCAGCUGAGGGCUGAGGCCCUGU
rnacentral:lncRNA from 1 species